rnacentral:tRNA from 1 species
GUUUUAAUAGUUUAAGAAAAAAAUCAUGAUCUUGUAAAUCAUAGAUAGGCAAAGACCUUUAAAACU